CCUACGGGAGGCAGCAGUGGGGAAUAUUGGGCAAUGGGAGGAAACUCUGACCCAGCGACGCCGCGUGCGGGAUGAAGGCCUUCGGGUUGUAAACCGCUUUCAGUAGGGAAGAAGCGAAAGUGACGGUACCUACAAAAGAAGCACCGGCUAACUAUGUGCCAGCAGCCGCGGUAAUACAUAGGGUGCAAGCGUUGUCCGGAAUUAUUGGGCGUAAAGAGCUCGUAGGUCGUUUGUUACGUCGGAUGUGAAAACCUGAGGCUCAACCUCAGGCCUGCAUUCGAUACGGGCAAACUAGAGUUUGGUAGGGGAGACUGGAAUUCCUGGUGUAGCGGUGGAAUGCGCAGAUAUCAGGAGGAACACCAAUGGCGAAGGCAGGUCUCUGGGCCAAUACUGACACUGAGGAGCGAAAGUCUGGGGAGCGAACAGGAUUAGAUACCCUGGUAGUCCAGACCGUAAACGGUGGGCACUAGUUGUGGGAACCUUCCACGGUUUCUGCGACGCAGCUAACGCAUUAAGUGCCCCGCCUGGGGAGUACGAUCGCAAGAUUAAAACUCAAAGGAUUGAACGG
rnacentral:rRNA from 1 species